AGAGUUUGAUUAUGGCUCAGAACGAACGCUGGCGGCGUGUUUAAGACAUGCAAGUCGCACGGAGAAUAUGAAUAGCUUGCUAAUUGUAUUCUUAGUGGCGCACGGGUGAGUAACACGUGAGUUACAUGCCUCACAGAGGGGAAUAGCCCGCCGAAAGGCGGAUUAAUACCCCAUAGUCCCGCAAGGGUAGAGGCGGCUUUAAGCUGUCGCUGUGAGAUUGGCUCGCGUCCUAUCAGCUUGUUGGUAAGGUAACGGCUUACCAAGGCAACGACGGGUAGCUGGUCUGAGAGGACGAUUCAUGGUUCACACCCUGGGAGGCUGAGAAACGGUCCAGACACCCUACCGGUGGCAGCAGUUCGAGAAUAAUUCACAAUGGGGGAAACCCUGAUGGUGCAACGCCCGCGUGGAGGAUGAAGGCCCUAGGGUCGUAAACUCCUGUCAUUUGAGAGUAAGACCUGGUCGUUAAUAGCGGACAGGGUUGAUAGUAUCAAAAGAGGAAAGGGAACGGCUAACUUCGUGCCAGCAGCCGCGGUAAUACGAAAGGUCCCAAGCGUUGUUCGGAAUCACUGGGCGUAAAGGGAGCGUAGGCGGUUAGGUAAGUCAGAUGUGAAAUCUCGGGGCUCAACCUCGAAACUGCAUCCGAUACUGCCUGACUUGAGUAAUGGAGGAGUAACUGGAAUUCUCGGUGUAGCAGUGAAAUGCGUAGAGAUCGAGAGGAACACUCGUGGCGAAGGCGAGUUACUGGACAUUUACUGACGCUGAGGCUCGAAGGCUAGGGUAGCGAAAGGGAUUAGAUACCCCUGUAGUCCUAGC
rnacentral:rRNA from 1 species